UGGCACCAAAUAACAAUUAUUUAGGUCUAAUAUUAAUCCCGAAGGUAGAUGUAGAGGUAGCGUGCCGACCGCGAUCACAUCGACUUUGGAACCGUUUCCCACGCGCAUCGUCACUUUGUCCUUAGCCAAUCUUCGCUUAAUCCGUAGUCCCUGUUUCGAGUUGCAAAUAUUAGCAACAGAACCAGUAUCAAAUACCCAGGUGCUACUGCGAGCAUUAGUAAGGUACACAUCAAUAACAUGUAUAUCACAUAUACCUUUGUUCACCUUGCCAUCCUUCUUAUCCGCCAAAUACUUGGGGCAGUUCCGCUUCCAGUGACCAGUCUGCUUGCAGUAAAAGCACUCAGUUUCAGACUUAGGUCCAGACUUGGGUUUCUUCUGUUGAGCAGCAACUUGCUUGCUGUUCUUCUUGAAGUUCCCCUUCUUUUUCCCUUUGCCCUUUUUCUUGAAACUAGUGGUCUUGUUGACCAUCAACACUUGAUGCUCCCUUUUUGAUUUCUACCUCCGCAGCUUUCAGCAUUGCGAAGAGCUCGGGAAUAGUCUUAUUCAUCCCUUGCACAUUAUAGUUCAUCACGAAGCUCUUGUAGCUUGGUGGCAGUGAUUGGAGAAUUCUGUCAAUGACGCAAUCAUCUAGAAGAUUAACUCCCAUUUGAAUCAAGUGAUUAUUAUACCCAGACAUUUUGAGUAUAUGCUCACUGACAGAAUUGUUCUCCUCCAUCUUGCAGCUAUAGAACUUAUUGGAGACUUCGUAUCUCUCAACCCGGACAUUUGCUUGAAAUAUUAACUUCAACUCUUGGAACAUCUCAUAUGCUCCAUGACGUUCAAAACGUCGUUGAAGUCCCGGUUCUAAGCCAUAAAGCAUGGCACACUGAACUAUCAAGUAGUCAUCAGCUUUGCUCUGCCAGACGUUCACAACAUCUGGUGUUGCUCCAGCAGCAGGCCUGGCACCCAGCGGUGCUUCCAGGAUGUAGUUCUUCUGUGCAGCAAUGAGGAUAAUCCUCAAGUUACGGACCCAGUCCAUGUAAUUGCUACCAUCAUCUUUCAACUUUGCUUUCUCAAGAAACGCAUUAAAAUUCAACGGAACAACAGCACGAGCCAUUUAUCUACAAUCAUACAUAAACAAGCAAGAUACUAUCAGGUACUAAGUUCAUGAUAAAUUUAGGUUCAGUUAAUCAUAUUACUUAAAGAACUCCCACUUAGAUAGACAUCCCUCUAAUCAUCUAAGUGAUUACGUGAUCCAAAUCAACUAAACCAUGUCCGAUCAUCACGUGAGAUGGAGUAGUUUCAUUAGUGAACAUCACUAUGUUGAUCAUAUCUACUAUAUGAUUCACGCUCGACCUUUCGGUCUCCGUGUUCCGAGGCCAUAUCUGUAUAUGCUUGACUCGUCAAGUAUAACCUGAGUAUUCCGCGUGUGCAACUGUUUUGCACCCGUUGUAUUUGAACGUAGAGCCUAUCACACCCGAUCAUCACGUGGUGUCUCAGCACGAAGAACUUUCGCAACGGUGCAUACUCAGGGAGAACACUUCUUGAUAAUUUAGUGAGAGAUCAUCUUAUAAUGCUACCGUCAAUCAAAGCAAGAUAAGAUGCAUAAAAGAUAAACAUCACAUGCAAUCAAUAUAAGUGAUAUGAUAUGGCCAUCAUCAUUUUGUGCUUGUGAUCUUCAUCUCUGAAGCAUCGUCAUGAUCACCAUCGUCACCGGCGCGACACCUUGAUCUCCAUCGUAGCAUCAUUGUCGUCUCGCCAAACUUAUGCUUCCACGACUAUCGCUACCGCUUAGUGAUAAAGUAAAGCAUUACAGCGCGAUUGCAUUGCAUACAAUAAAGCGACAACCAUAUGGCUCCUGUCAGUUGCCGAUAACUCGGUUACAAAACAUGAUCAUCUCAUACAAUAAAAUUUAGCAUCAUAUCUUGACCAUAUCACAUCACAACAUGCCCUGCAAAAACAAGUUAGACGUCCUCUACUUUGUUGUUGCAUGUUUUACGUGGCUGCUACAGGCUUAAGCAAGAACCAAUCUUACCUACGCAUCAAAACCACAACGAUAGUUUGUCAAGUUGGUGCUGUUUUAACCUUCGCAAGGACCGGGCGUAGCCACACUCAGUUCAACUAAAGUUGGAGAAACUGUCACCCGCAAGCCACCUAUGUGCAAAGCACGUCGGGAGAACCGGUCUCGCGUAAGCGUACGCGUAAUGUCGGUCCGUGCCGCUUCGUCCAACAAUACCGCCGAACCAAAGUAUGACAUGCUGGUAAGCAGUAUGACUUAUAUCGCCCACAACUCACUUGUGUUCUACUCGCGCAUAUAACAUCAACAUAUAAAACCUAGGCUCGGAUGCCACCGUUGGGUUUUGUAGUAAUUUCAAAAAAUUUCCUACGCUCACGCAAGAUCAUGGUGAUGCAUAGCAACGAGAGGGAAGAGUAUGAUCUACGUACCCUUGUAGAUCGACAACGGAAGCGUUUGGUUGAUGUAGUCGUACGUCUCCACGGCUCGACCGAUCAAGCACCGAAACUACGACACCUCCGAGUUCUAGCACACGUUCAGCUCGAUGACGAUCCCCGGACUCCGAUCCAGCAAAGUGUCGGGGAAGAGUUCCGUCAACACGACGACGUGGUGACGAUCUUGAUGUACUACCGUCGCAGGGCUUCGCCUAAGCACAUCUACAAUAUUAUCGAGGACUAUGGUGGAAGGGGGCACCGCACACGGCUAAGAAUAUGAUCACGUGGAUCAACUUGUGUCUCUAGGGGUGCCCUUGCCUCCGUAUAUAAAGGUUCAAGGGAUGGGGGCCGGUCGGCCAAGGUGUGGCGCGCCAGGAGGAGUCCUACUCCUUCUGGGAGUAGGACUCCCCCCCUUUCCUUGUUGGAAUAGGAUUCAUGGAGGGGGGGGAAAGAGGAGAGAGAGGAGGAAGGGGGGCCGGCCCCCUCUCCUUGUCCAAUUCGGACCAAGGGGGGGAGGGGCGCGCGGCCCAUCUCUAGCCACCUCUCCUCUCUUCCACUAAGGCCCACUAAGGCCCAUAUACCUCCCGGGGGGUUCCGGUAACCUCCCGGUACUCCGGUAAAAUCCCGAUUUCACCCAGAACACUUCCGAUAUCCAAACAUAGGCUUCCCAUAUAUCAAUCUUUAUGUCUCGACCAUUUCGAGACUCCUCGUCAUGUCCGUGAUCACAUCCGGGACUCCGAACAACCUUCGGUACAUCAAAAUGCAUAAACUCAUAAUAUAACUGUCAUCGUAACCUUAAGCGUGCGGACCCUAUGGGUUCGAGAACAAUGUAGACAUGACCGAGACACGUCUCCGGUCAAUAACCAAUAGCGGAACCUGGAUGCUCAUAUUGGCUCCUACAUAUUCUACGAAGAUCUUUUAUCGGUCAGACCGCAUAACAACAUACGUUGUUCCCUUUGUCAUCGGUAUGUUACUUGCCCGAGAUUCGAUCGUCGGUAUCCUAUACCUAGUUCAAUCUCGUUACCGGCAAGUCUCUUUACUCGUUCUGUAAUACAUCAUCCCGCAACUAACUCAUUAGUUGCAAUGCUUGCAAGGCUUAAGUGAUGUGCAUUACCGAGAGGGCCCAGAGAUACCUCUCCGACAAUCGGAGUGACAAAUCCUAAUCUUGAAAUACGCCAACCCAACAUGUACCUUUGGAGACACCUGUAGAGCUCCUUUAUAAUCACCCAGUUACGUUGUGACGUUAGGUAGCACACAAAGUGUUCCUCUGGCAAACGGGAGUUGCAUAAUCUCAUAGUCAUAGGAACAUGUAUAAGUCAUGAAGAAAGCAAUAGCAACAUACUAAAUGAUCGGGUGCUAAGCUAAUGGAAUGGGUCAUGUCAAUCAGAUCAUUCAACUAAUGAUGUGAUCCCGUUAAUCAAAUAACAACUCUUUGUCCAUGGUUAGGAAACAUAACCAUCUUUGAUUAACGAGCUAGUCAAGUAGAGGCAUACUAGUGACACUCUGUUUGUCUAUGUAUUCACACAUGUAUUAUGUUUCCGGUUAAUACAAUUCUAGCAUGAAUAAUAAACUUUUAUCAUGAUAUAAGGAAAUAAAUAAUAACUUUAUUAUUGCCUCUAGGGCAUAUUUCCUUCAUGCACUAGCCCAACUAGCUCAUGAACUGUCCGGGGUUGGCCAAUCCCCCGACAGUUCCAGCUCAGGACUGUCAUGGCUCCUGGUGGGCGCCAUCUUUAGCACCCACCAGGUCCCCGGGAGCCCCAGUUCCGACUGCUUCCUUGUCUUCCUCCUUGCCCUUGCUGCUUGCUUCAGCGUCUGCCUCUGUCUAUUUCUUCUUUUUGUUCUGAUCCACCUCAUUGUCCUUACUCGCCCCCUUGAUCUUGCUGAAAUUCUCUUCAUUUCAUUCCCCUCUCUUACCCAGCACCGAGGCAGAAGGAAACACAUACUUCCUGCGGACCUUCACCCCAGCUGGGAUCAUCUCCUGCCCUACCUUAUCAGUAGCAGUCACAUCUCUCUUCUCUUCACCUUCUAGCUCAUGCAGCCCCGUCACCACGUGGAGACCAGCAUCACCAGCACCCUUAAUGAAGUACUAAGGUAAUGGGCCAAAGCCUGGAGGGAAGAGUGGUCCACUGCCAUUGUCAUCCUUAGCUUUUGCUGCGGCGAACUGUUCAGAGUUCAACAUCGUCUUCCCAGGUCCUGUUUUCACUGCUGUCUCUUCCACCUCCUUCCCAUCCACCUGCAUCUGCUUGUUUGGUGCCGCUAAUUCAGCUGGGACGGUCUCCUGGAUUGGCUUCUCUGCUGUGUUCCCCUUCCUACCCUGCUGAUCGCUGCCUCCUUCCUCAGUAACCUUCAGAGCACUCACCGCCGCUAUUGCCUCUUGCACCAUUGGGUUUGCCAUGAUUUCUUCAGGGACCGCCAUGAGCCUUGCUUUGGCUUGCUUUGGGUAGACAUGCACCUCCUUGCCGAACAUCUCCUGCCCAAAUUGGAGGAACCUGCGAGUUCUGCUGACAUUUGGAUCCACAUAUCCCCUUCUACUAGAGCUAUGCUUAGCAGGGGAGGCACGCAUUGCUGCUGUAAACCUCAUCUUUUGGAGGUCAACAGGUGAAGGAAAUAUGCCCUAGAGGCAAUAAUAAAGUUAUUAUUUAUUUCCUUAUAUCAUGAUAAAUGUUUAUUAUUCAUGCUAGAAUUGUAUUAACCGGAAACAUAAUACAUGUGUGAAUACAUAGACAAACAGAGUGUCACUAGUAUGCCUCUACUUGACUAGCUCGUUAAUCAAAGAUGGUUAUGUUUCCUAACCAUGGACAAAGAGUUGUUAUUUGAUUAACGGGAUCACAUCAUUAGUUGAAUGAUCUGAUUGACAUGACCCAUUCCAUUAGCUUAGCACCCGAUCGUUUAGUAUGUUGCUAUUGCUUUCUUCAUGACUUAUACAUGUUCCUAUGACUAUGAGAUUAUGCAACUCCCGUUUGCCGGAGGAACACUUUGUGUGCUACCAAACGUCACAACGUAACUGGGUGAUUAUAAAGGAGCUCUACAGGCGUCUCCAAAGGUACAUGUUGGGUUGGCGUAUUUCGAGAUUAGGAUUUGUCACUCCGAUUGUCGGAGAGGUAUCUCUGGGCACUCUCGGUAAUGCACAUCACUGAAGCCUUGCAAGCAUUGCAACUAAUGAGUUAGUUGCGGGAUGAUGUAUUACGGAACGAGUAAAGAGACUUGCCGGUAACGAGAUUGAACUAGGUAUUGAGAUACCGACGAUCGAAUCUCGGGCAAGUAACAUACCGAUGACAAAGGGAACAACGUAUGUUGUUAUGCGGUCUGACCGAUAAAGAUCUUCGUAGAAUAUGUAGGAGCCAAUAUGGGCAUCCAGGUCCCGCUAUUGGUUAUUGACCGGAGACGUGUCUCGGUCAUGUCUACAUUGUUCUCGAACCCGUAGGGUCUGCACGCUUAAGGUUUCGAUGACAGUUAUAUUAUGAGUUUGUGGGUUUUGAUGUACCGAAGGAGUUCGGAGUCCCGGAUGAGAUCGGGGACAUGACGAGGAGUCUCGAAAUGGUUGAGACGUAAAGAUCGAUAUAUUGGACGACUAUAUUCGGACAUCGGAAAGAUUCCGAGUGAUUCGGGUAUUUUUCGGAGUACCGGAUAGUUACGGGAGAAGCAAUGGGCCUUGAUGGGCUUUAGUGGGAAGAGGAGAAAGGGCCAAGGGGCUGCUGCGCCCCCCCUCCCCUCUGGUCCGAAUUGGACUAGGAAAAAGGGGGCCGGCCACCUUUCCUUCUCCUCUACUUCCUUCUGUCUUCCUCCCCUCUUGGUAGACUCCUACUAGGACUUGGAGUCCUAGUAGGACUCCACAUCCUGGCCGCACCAAUUGCCUUGGCCGGCCUCCUCCUCCUCCAUCCUUUAUAUACUGAGGCAAGGGGCACCCCAUGAACACAAGUUGAUCCACGUGAUCAUAUUCUUAGCCGUGUGCGGUGCCCCCUUCCACCAUAGUCCUCGAUAAUAUUAUAGCGGUGCUUAGGCGAAGCCCUGCGACUGUAGUACAUCAAGAUCGUCACCAUGCCGUCGUGCUGACGGAACUCUUCCCCGACACUUUGCUGGAUCGGAGUCCGGGGAUCGUCAUCGAGCUGAACGUGUACCAAGAACUCGGAGGUGCUGGAGUAACGGUGCUUGGAUCGGUCGGAUCGUGAAGACAUCGACUACAUCAACCGCGUUGUCACAACGCUUCCGCUGUCGGUCUACAAGGGUACGUAGAUCACACUCUCCCUCUCGUUGCUAUGCAUCACCAUGAUCUUGCAUGUGCGUAUGAAAUUUUUGAAAUUACUAUGUUAUCCAACAGUGGCAUCCGAGCCUAGGUUUUAUAUGUUGAUGUUAUAUGCACGAGUAGAACACAAGUGAGUUGUGGGCGAUAUAAGUCAUACUGCUUACCAGCAUGUCAUACUUUGGUUCGGCGGUAUUGUUGGACGAAGCGGCCCGGACCGACAUUACGCGUACGCUUACGCGAGACCGGUUCUCCCGACGUGCUUUGCACAUAGGUGGCUUGCGGGUGACAGUUUCUCCAACUUUAGUUGAACCAAGUGUGGCCACGCCCGGUCCUUGUGAAGGUUAAAACAGUACCAACUUGACAAACUAUCAUUGUGGUUUUGAUGCGUAGGUAAGAUUGGUUCCUGCUUAAGCCCGUAGCAGCCACGUAAAACAUGCAACAACAAAGUAAAGGACGUCUAACUUGUUUUUGCAGGGCAUGUUGUGAUGUGAUAUGGUCAAGACAUGAUGCUAAAUUUUAUUGUAUGAGAUGAUCAUGUUUUGUAACCGAGUUAUCGGCAACUGGCAGGAGCCAUAUGGUUGUCGCUUUAUUGUAUGCAAUGCAAUCGCGUUGUAAUGCUUUACUUUAUCACUAAGCGGUAGCGAUAGUUGUGGAAGCAUAAGAUUGGCGAGACGACAACGAUGCUACGAUGGAGAUCAAGGUGUCGCGCCGGUGACGAUGGUGAUCAUGACGGUGCUUCGGAGAUGGAGAUCACAAGCACAAAAUGAUGAUGGCCAUAUCAUAUCACUUAUAUUGAUUGCAUGUGAUGUUUAUCUUUUAUGCAUCUUAUCUUGCUUUGAUUGACGAUAGCAUUAUAAGAUGAUCUCUCACUAAAUUAUCAAGAAGUGUUCUCCCUGAGUAUGCACCGUUGCGAAAGUUCUUCAUGCUGAGACACCACGUGAUGAUCGGGUGUGAUAGGCUCUACGUUCAAAUACAACGGGUGCAAAACAGUUGCACACGCGGAAUACUCAGGUUAUAAUUGACGAGCCAAGCAUAUACAGAUAUGGCCUCGGAACACGGAGACCGAAAGGUCGAGCGUGAAUCAUAUAGUAGAUAUGAUCAACAUAGCGAUGUUCACCAAUGAAACUACUCCAUCUCACAUGAUGAUCGGACAUGGUUUAGUUGAUUUGGAUUACGUAAUCACUUAGAGGAUUAGAGGGAUGUCUAUCUAAGUGGGAGUUCUUAAGUAAUAUGAUUAAAUUGAACUUAAAUUUAUCAUGAACUUAGUCCUGGUAGUAUUUUGCAAAUUAUUUUAUAGAUCAAUAGCUCACGUUGUUGCUUCCCUAUGUUUAUUUUGAUAUGUUCCUAGAGAAAAUUGUGUUGAAAGAUGUUAGUAGCAAUGAUGCGGAUUGGAUCCGUGAUCUGAGGUUUAUCCUCAUUGCUGCACAGAAGAAUUAUGUCCUUGAUGCACCGCUAGGUGACGGACCUAUUGCAGGAGCAGAUGCAGACGUUAUGAACGUUUGGCUAGCUCAAUAUGAUGACUACUUGAUAGUUUAGUGCAUCAUGCUUAAUGGCUUAGAAUCGGGACUUCAAAGACGUUUUGAACGUCAUGGAGCAUAUGAGAUGUUCCAGGAGUUGAAGAUAAUAUUUCAAGCAAAUACCCGAGUUGAGAGAUAUGAAGUCUCCAACAAGUUCUAUAGCUAAAAGAUGGAGGAGAAUCGCUCAACUAGUGAGCAUGUGCCCAGAUUGUCUGAGUACUACAAUCGCUUGAAUCAAGUGGGAGUUAAUCUUCCAGAUAAGAUAGUGAUUGACAAAAUUCUCUAGUCACCAUCACCAAGUUAGUAGAACUUCAUGAUGAACUAUGAUAUGCAAAGGAUAACGGAAACGAUUCCCAAGAUCUUCGUAAUGCGGAAAUUGACGAAGGUAGAAAUCGAGAAAAACAUCAAGUGUUGAUGGUAGACAAGACCACUAAUUUCAAGAAAAGGGCAGAGGGAAGAAGGGGAACUUCAAGAAGAACAGCAAGCAAGUUGCUGCUCAAGUGAAGAAGCCCAAGUCUGGUCCUAAGCCUGAGACUAAGUGUUUCUACUGCAAAGGGACUGGUCACUGGAAGCGGAACUACCCCAAGUGAUUGGCAGAUAAGAAGGAUGGCAAAGUGAACAUAAGUAUAUUUGAUAUACAUGUUAUUGAUGUGUACUUUACUAGUGUUUAUAGCAACCCCUCAGUAUUUGAUACUAGUUCAGUUGCUAAGAUUAGUAACUCGAAACGGGAGUUGCAGAAUAAACAGAGACUAGUUAAGGGUGAAGUGACGAUGUGUGUUGGAAGUGGUUCCAAGAUUGAUAUGAUCAUCAUCGCACACUCCCUAUACUUUCGGGAUUAGUGUUGAACCUGAAUAAGUGUUAUUUGGUGUUUGCGUUAAGCAUGAAUAUGAUUUGAUCAUGUUUAUUGUAAUACUGUUAUUCAUUUAAGUAAGAGAAUAAAUUGUUGUUCUGUUUACAUGAAUAAAACCUUAUAUGGUUACACACCCAAUGAAAAUAGUUCGUUGGAUCUCGAUCGUAGUGAUACACAUAAUCAUAAUAUUGAAACCAAAAGAUGCAAAGUUAAUAUUGAUAGUGCAACUUAUUUGUAGCACUGCCGUUUAGGUCAUAUUGGUGUAAAGCGCAUGAAGAAACUCCAUGCUGAUGGGAUUUUGGAAUCACUUGAUUAUGAAUCACUUGAUGCUUGCGAACCAUGCCUCAUGGGCAAGAUGACUAAGACUCCAUUCUCCGGAGCGAGCAACUGACUUAUUGGAAAUAAUACAUACUGAUGUAUGCGGUCCGAUGAGUGUUAAGGCUCACGGCAAGUAUCGUUAUUUUCUGAACUUCACAGAUGAUUUGAGCAGAUAUGGGUAUAUCUACUUGAUGAAACAUAAGUCUAAAACAUUUGAAAAGUUCAAAGAAUUUCAGAGUGAAGUGGAAAAUCAUCGUGACAAGAAAAUAAAGUUUCUACGAUCUGAUCACGGAGACAAAUAUUUGAGUUACGAGUUUGGUCUUCAAUUAAAACAAUGUGGAAUAGUUUCACAAACUCAUGCCACAUGGAACACCACAGCAUAAUGGUGUGUCCGAACGUCAUAACCGUACUUUAUUGGAUAUAGUGCAAUCUAUGAUGUCUCUUACCAAUCUACCACUAUCAUUUUGGGGUUAUGCAUUAGAGACAGCUGCAUUCACGUUAAAUAGGGCACCAUCUAAAUCCGUUGAGACGACACCAUAUGAACUAUGGUUUGGCAAGAAACCUAAGCUGUCAUUUCUUAAAGUUUGGGACUGCGAUGCUUAUGUGAAAAAGUUUCAACAUGAUAAGCUCGAACCCAAAUCGGAGAAGUAAAUCUUCAUAGGAUAUCCAAAGGAAACUAUUGGAUACACCUUCUAUCACAGAUCUGAAGGCAAGACUUUUGUUGCUAAAUUCGGAAACUUUCUGGAGAAGGAGUUUCUCUCGAAAGAAGUGAGUGGGAGGAAAGUAAAAAAACUUGAUAAGGUAAUUGUACCUUCUCCCUUAUUGGAAAGUAGUUCAUCACAGAAAUCUGUUCCUGUGACUACUACACCAAUUAGUGAGGAAGCUAAUGAUGAUGAUCAUGUAACUUCAGAUCAAGUUACUACCGAAUCUCGCAGGUAAACCAGAGUGAGAUCCGCACCAGAGUGGUACUGUAAUCCUGUUCUGGAAGUCAUGUUACUAGACCAUGACGAACUUGCGAACUAUGAGGAAGCGAUGAUGAGCCCAGAUUCCGCAAAAUGGCUUGAGGCCAUGAAAUCUGAGAUGGGAUCCAUGUAUGAGAACAAAGUAUGGACUUUGGUUGACUUGCCCGAUGAUCGGCAAGCAAUUAAGAAUAAAUGGAUCUUCAAGAGGAAGACGGACGCUGAUAGUAUUGUUACUAUCUACAAAGCUAGAAUUGUCGCAAAAGGUUUUCGACAAGUUCAAGGUGUUGACUACGAUGAGAGUUUCUCACUCGUAUCUAUGCUUAAAUCUGUCCGAAUCAUGUUAGCAAUUGCCGCAUUUUAUGAAAUCUGGCAAAUGGAUAACAAAACUGCAAUCCUUAAUGGAUUUCUUAAAGAAGAAUUGUAUAUGAUGCAACCAGAAGUUUUUGUCAAUCCUAAAGGUGUUAACAAAAUAUACAAACUCCAGCGAUCCAUCUAUGGACUAGUGUAAGCAUCUCGGAGUUGGAAUAUACGCUUUGAUGAGUUGAUCAAAGCAUAUAGUUUUAUAAAGACUUGCGGUGAAGCCUGUAUUUACAAGAAAGUGAGUGGGAGCACUAUAACAUUUCUGAUAAGUAUAUGUGAAUGACAUAUUGUUGAUCGGAAAUAAUGUAGAAUUAUUCUGCAAAGCAUAAAGGAGUGUUUGAAAGGAGUUUUUCAAAGAAAGACCUCGGUGAAGUUGCUUACAUAUUGAGCAUCAAGAUCUAUAGAGAUAGAUCAACACGCUUGAUAAGGUUUUUCAAUAAAUACAUACCUUGACAAGAUUUUGAAGUAGUUCGAAAUGGAAUAGACAAAGAAAGAGUUUCUUGCCUAUGUUACAAGGUGUGAAAUUGAGUAAGACUCAAAGCCCGACCACGGCAGAGAUAGAAAGAGAAUGAAUAUCAUUCCCUAUGCCUUGGUCAUAGGUUCUAUAAAGUAUGUCAUGCUGUGUACCAGAUCUAUUGUAUACCCUACUACUGAGUUUGGCAAGGGAGUACAAUAGUGAUCUAGGAGUAGAUCACUGGACAGCGAUCAAAAUUAUCCUUAGUGGAAUAAGGAUAUGUUUCUCGAUUAUGGAAGUGAAAAAAGGUUCGUCGUAAAGGGUUACGCCGAUGCAAGUUUUGAUACUAAUCUAGAUGAAUCUAAGUCUCAAUCUAGAUACAUAUUGAAAGUGGGAGCAAUUAGCUAGAGUAGCUCCGUGCAGAGCAUUAUUGACAUAAAUAUUUGCAAAAUACUUACGGAUCUGAAUAUAACAGACCCGUGACUAAAAUUAUCUCACAAGCACAACAUGAUCACACCUUAGUACUCUUUGGGUGUUAAUCACACAUCGAUGUGAACUAGAUUACUGACUCUAGUAAACCCUUUGGGUGUUGGUCACAUAUCGAUGUGGACUAUGGGUGUUAAUCACAUGGUUAUGAGAACUAUUGCUAUUAAAUCACAUGGCGAUGUGAACUAGAUUAUUGACUCUAGUGCAAGUGGGAGACUGAAGGAAAUAUGCCCUAGAGGCAAUAAUAAAGUUAUUAUUUAUUUCCUUAUAUCAUGAUAAAUGUUUAUUAUUCAUGCUAGAAUUGUAUUAACCGGAAACAUAAUACAUGUGUGAAUACAUAGACAAACAAAGUGUCACUAGUAUGCCUCUACUUGACUAGCUCGUUAAUCAAAGAUGGUUAUGUUUCCUAACCAUGGACAAAGAGUUGUUAUUUGAUUAACGGGAUCACAUCAUUAGUUGAAUGAUCUGAUUGACAUGACCCAUUCCAUUAGCUUAGCACCCGAUCGUUUAGUAUGUUGAUAUUGCUUUCUUCAUGACUUAUACAUGUUCCUAUGACUAUGAGAUUAUGCAACUCCCGUUUGCCGGAGGAACACUUUGUGUGCUACCAAAGUCACAAUGUAACUGGGUGAUUAUAAAGGAGCUCUAUAGGCGUCUCCAAAGGUACAUGUUGGGUUGGCGUAUUUCGAGAUUAGGAUUUGUCACUCCGAUUGUCGGAGAGGUAUCUCUGGCCCCUCUCGGUAAUGCACAUCACCGAAGCCUUGCAAGCAUUGCAACUAAUGAGUUAGUUGCGGGAUGAUGUAUUACGGAACGAGUAAAGAGACUUGCCGGUAACGAGAUUGAACUAGGUAUUGAGAUACCGACGAUCGAAUCUCGGGCAAGUAACAUACCGAUGACAAAGAGAACAACGUAUGUUGUUAUGCGGUCUGACCGAUAAAGAUCUUCGUAGAAUAUGUAGGAGCCAAUAUGGGCAUCCAGGUCCCGCUAUUGGUUAUUGACCGGAGACGUGUCUCGGUCAUGUCUACAUUGUUCUCGAACCCGUAGGGUCCGCACGCUUAAGGUUUCGAUGACAGUUAUAUUAUGAGUUUAUGAGUGUUGAUGUACCGAAGGAGUUCGGAGUCCCGGAUGAGAUCGGGGACAUGACGAGGAGUCUCGAAAUGAUUGAGACGUAAAGAUCGAUAUAUUGGACGACUAUAUUCGGACAUCGGAAAGGUUCCGAGUGAUUCGGGUAUUUUUCGGAGUACCGGGUAGUUACGGGAGAAGCAAUGGGCCUUGAUGGGCUUUAGUGGGAAGAGGAGAAAGGGCCAAGGGGCUGCUGCGCCCCCUCCCCUCUGGUCCGAAUUGGACUAGGGAAAAGGGGGCCGGCCACCUUUCCUUCUCCUCUACUUCCUUCUCCCUUCCUCCCCUCUUGGUAGACUCCUACUAGGACUUGGAGUCCUAGUAGGACUCCACAUCCUGGCCGCACCAAUUGCCUUGGCCGGCCUCCUCCUCCUCCUCCAUCCUUUAUAUACUGAGGCAAGGGGCACCCCAUGAACACAAGUUGAUCCACAUGAUCAUAUUCUUAGCCGUGUGCGGUGCCCCCUUCCACCAUAGUCCUCGAUAAUAUUGUAGCGGUGCUUAGGCGAAGCCCUGCGACUGUAGUACAUCAAGAUCGUCACCACACCGUCGUGCUGACGGAACUCUUCCCCGACACUUUGCUGGAUCGGAGUCCGGGGAUCGUCAUCGAGCUGAACGUGUGCCAAGAACUCGGAGGUGCCGGAGUAACGGUGCUUGGAUCGGUCGGAUCGUGAAGACGUACGACUACAUCAACCGCGUUGUCACAAUGCUUCCGCUGUCGGUCUACAAGGGUACGUAGAUCACACUCUCCCCUCUCGUUGCUAUGCAUCACCAUGAUCUUGCAUGUGCGUAGGAAAUUUUGGAAAUUACUACGUUACUCAACAACAGGCAGCUUACAAUUGUGUUGUCCAUGCCCUAUGAGACCACAGUACCCACAGAAUCGAGGCACUCUCUCAUACUUAACCUCUAAGCAAUAGAAAUCAUUCUCUGACUUCUCAUGGAAAGUUACAUCACUACGGAGAGGCACAUCUACAUCGUGCUUGAUACGGAUUCUAAUGUAGUCCCCCCAAAUUUUACCUUCCUUGUCACAGUCCACAGCCAGGACCUCUCCUAGCUCUGCACCCACCUUCCAUGCAACUCUUUCUGACAUCAUGAUGGGAGGAGUGUCGUGAACACGUACCCAUAUUGGCAUGUGAGCGACUUCAACAUCAGCCGGUCUCUGGCUACCAUCCACUACCACCAUCAGGAAAGCAUCUCCCUUGUGAGUCCAGGGGCCGUUGUUGAGGAUGUGCCGGCGAUCUCCUUCCCGCUCAAACUCCAUCAGGUAGCGGUUGUUCUUGAGUGGGGAGUAGGUCAGCCGUCCCCUCAAGCCCCACUUGCUCUUCAUCUCUCGGAACAAACCUUCAGUGCCGAAGGCUUGUGGCGAGAAGAAGAGGCCCACUGCGAUCCAGUGGGUGCGCAUUGCCGCCUUCUCCGCAGACAGGUCUAGUUCCACAGCCUCCUUGAUCUGCCCGCAGAUGAUGGCAGGAAGCUUGGGAUCAGCAGCAUCCCCGACGGCCCCCACUCUGGGCGUCGGGACCAUGGCCUCCUCUGGGACAGACAGGGUGUUGAUCGCACCCCAUGGCCAUGGGAUGAGCCACCGUGCAACACGACCCUUUCCGGUCUUCCUCCCUCCGACCGCUUGGGUGGCACCUCACUUUCACUCAUGGCGCCCUUGCCCUUGCUCAUGAGGUUCUCCAUGGACAAGCCGGUGGCAAUCGCAGGUGGAGGUCGAGGAAUAGUACAUGCUACAUGCCCUUGAUCCUGGGUUUUAUACCCCAUCGGUGCAGAUCCGGUCCUGGCGACUUGCUCUGGCCCUGCAAUUGGUAUGUGAUCUCAUGAUAUCGCUGUAUCAGGGAUGGUAAUCAUCUCCAAAUCCUUUUCUCUUCCUCUGUCCGGCGGAUCUCCCGGCGGUAAUAGUUCCAGCCUAUCCUUUCUCCCAAUCCACGAGCGCCCCAGAUCCCUUCUCAAGCUCUGAAUCUUGUCUUUGAUUCGAUCCAUACCCCCCACCUCCGGUUGACCCCGAUUUUCCCCGCCCCGAUUCUUAGUUUCCUUCCUUUGGAUUUUCCUCAUCUCCAUCUUCUUGAUCGCAUUCCUUACCUGCAUCCAAUCCUUUCUCAAUCCUAAUGAAUCCCAAUUGGGGCAUAUCUCUUCCUUCCUACAGAUAUCCUCGCCCUUCCUCCGGGAAGGGUGAACUCUCACCGCCGGCGCGGCAUUCUCGGGAUCUACCCCUGAUCGCCUCGCGAUCGCCUCGAAAGGGGGAGCGUAAAUUGCGGGGCGGUCCAUUCUAUAAGGAGUUUUCCUGCAUUAUUAAAAUUUAACUAAACUUUAUUUUUAGUAUUUUAUAAGUAAAAAAUUGAGCGAAACAAUUUAUAUGUAAAUAACAUCUGCUUAGGGAGCCAACGUUUCUCUCCAGACGGGCCCUUACAUACCCAAGCAUCUAUUCCAGAGAAGGUUUUUGCCUCAAGAUUCACCCACUUGGCUGAAAAAGACCUUACAGUAAACCUAUACAUGGCACGUGGUAUUAAUUUUGGGAUGUGGUGGUGUACAAACGCCUCGUGGAUCCAUUUAUUUCAUUGAAAUUUUUUGAACGGGUGUGGCAUUUGGUUUGGUUGAUUUAGCGUUUUUUGGUUGUGUUUGGCUCAAUCUGUUCGUGUGUGUUUGUGUGUGCGUAUGUGCUGUCCCUUUCGGCUGUUUGAAUGUGGUUUCUUUCUCAUGUGCUAUCGCUUUCGGUUCUGCCGACGUGGUUGUUUUUUUAGCGUGUGUCACUGUCCAUUCUAGCAUAUGUUUGAAACAGAUAGUUCAUCACGUUUGCAAAGCAUAACCACUGUUAGGGUCGUCUUCUUCGUGUGCUUCCUCCAUGCUGUCUUCCGUUUCCCGGCCUGCAUGCUGCUGCAUCACCUACUUUCACAGGAGUAGUUCAGUGCUGCUGCAUGGUGGUGACCUGGUGGGUCUCUCUCUCUCUAUGAAGUGUCCCAUACAUAGUGUGACUGUAUCUGAAGCGGGACUGCUUCUGUCUGGGCAGCUCAAUAGUAAUAGCGUGUGUUUCAUCACCAUCAGCUAGCGAUCCAGGACUUCGUACUAAACUGCUACUAAAUUCACAAGAGGGAGCAUUUCAAUAAAUAAAAAUCUAUCGAUGCUUUAUAAUAUCAUGCAUACAUGUAUGAUGUAUCAACAGUUCUUUUUAGUUCUACUUCAUACCAAAAAAUAAAUUUGCAAUGUCUGAACAAAUAUGAAGUAUAAAAUUAUAUUAUGAAAGGGAAUUUUUUGAUUUUCAAAACUAAUGAACUUGGGCCUGCUUACAACACGUAUUCAUCAGUUAACUACACUUUUUUGGGGUAAUUGCUCUUUCAAAUCUCCAUAAGAGGGCAAAAACACCACUCUUCUCGAGAUGAUCGCAGUCAGCUGGAUGGGCUCCACACUUCCCGUGCCAUUUUAUAUGUUUUAAAUUGCACUUCAGAGAGCGUUCACCAGUUAACUGAAACUUAUUGUGUUCUAAAAUUUAAUCCAGGUGGUGUCUUUGGACUAAGGCCACUCUGGAGUGGUAACAUUAGCACAACUGAUGGUUGGUUUUUUUCCCCUGUUGACAUGUAUCUCCUUUCUUUUGAUGUGAAUACAUCAAUAGAAUAAGGGGUUUCUAAUAUUACUGUCUUACAUAGUUCACAGAUUAUUGAAGCUUUUUGCGGCUAUGGAAAUCUGACCAGAGACUAUUCGGUCUUAUCUCUGAAUUGAAGAUAAGAAGUGUAAAUGUUCAGAUAUGUAUGUUACCCCUUUUGUAAACUAAUAUAGGACCGUUUAGACUACUACUUUAGAUCACUAAAGUUGUGAUCUAAAUGGUCUUAUAUUAGUUUACAAAGGGAUUACCUCCUAACCACUCUUUACAGAUUUAUUAUCUAUGAAAUGCAUCCAAGCAAGUCCUAUCUUAUCUGCAAUUACCCCCUUAGAUAUCUGGAGUUUAGAGCUCACUAUCCUUCCAGGUUCUCUACUGGUUGUAUUUCCUUGACAACUUCGAGGGAGGAAUAAGUACUGUUUGUCAUUCUUUGACAUGUAUAAUACCAUACUAGAGAUGUGAAUUGUUGGAGUUCAUUUAGUGGAGUAUUAGUAGAUAAAUGAUUUCUUUUCUUCGCAUUCAACUGGUGUAUAUGUGUUUAGUCCAUUCCCAAAAUGAUUUGUAAAGUUGCCUUAACAACUAAACAGCCUUCAUGUGUAUUGGUACUCUGUUUUUUGGGCAGCUGGAAGAAAUCAGUUUAUCAAUUAACAAAUAUGGAACGGAGGGAGUAGUUAGUUAGGCAUCACAGUGAAGCUUGGCGAAGGGGCAUUUUUUUAGGCCUACAAGGCUGGAUGCACUGUAUCAAAGUGGUACCAUCUGAUGGGCAUUCAUUUGUCAACUACCACUUUUUUUAGCUGUAUCGCGUGCCAAAAAAUUGAAUUGACAAUGUCUGAACAAAUAUGAAGUAUAAAGUUAUAUCAUUGAAGAGAAUUGUUUUAUUUUCAAAAGUAAUGAAGUUGGAUCUGCUUAAAGCACAUAUUCACGAGUUAACUUCACUUUUUAGGGUAAUUGUAAUUUAAAUAUCCACAAGAGGACAAAAACACUACUCUUCUGGAGGUCAUCUAAAUAAGAUGGAAGGGCUCCACACUUCCCGUGCCAUUUUAUGUAUUUUAGAAUUUACUUCAGAGAGACUUCAUCAGUUUGUGCUCUAAAUUUUACUUUAGAGAGUGUCUUUGGACUGAGGCCACUUUAGCACAAUUGAUGGCUGCUUUUCCUCCCCUGUGGACAUGUACCUCCUUUAUCUAGAUGUGAAUAUAUCAAUAAAACAAGGAAUUUUUAAUAUUACUGUCUGACGGAGUUCACAGAUUAUUGAAGAUUUUUGCAGCUAUGGAGAUCUGACCAAACAGUCUUCUAUCCUACCUCUGAAUUGAAGAUGUAUUGGGUCUGUAUAUGAAGUGUAAAUAUUCAGAUAUGUAUGUUACCUCCUAACUUCUCUUUACAGAUUUAUUAUCUAUGAAAUGCAUGCAAGCAAGUUCUAUCUUAUAGACAAUUACUCUCUUAUAGAUAAAUCCGUUGAUUCAUGAAUUAAAUGGCCAGAGAUCGGUGCAGUCAAGUGGAUUGAUACCUGGACUUUAGAGCUCAAAAUCCUUCUAACUUCUCUACUGGCUGUAUUUUGUUGACAGCUUUGAGAGAAGAACAAGUACUGUUAGUCAUUCCAUGACAUGUAUAAUUUAAAUACUAGAGAAGUGAAUUGAUAGUUCAUUUAGUAGAGUAUUAGUAGAUGAUGGUGUAUAUCCUGAUAUGUUUAGUCCGUUCCCAAAAUAAUUUGUGAAGUAGCCUUAAUAAUUAUAAACCUUCUCUGUAUAUUAGUACUCAGUUUUUUGGGGAGCUGGAAGAAGCCAGCUUACCAUAACAUGUGAAAAUGAAUUUAUUUACCUGCAGUGUUGCUUUUAUUAGUUGACAAAGUUGUUUGUUAAAUACUCCCUCCGUCCAGAAAUACUUGUCAUCAAAAUGGAGAAAAAAGGAUGUAUCUAGAUGUAUUUUAGUUCUAGAUACAUCUUUUUUUAUCCAUUUUGAUGACAAGUAUUUUUUGACGGAGGGAGUAGUUAGUUAGGCAUUACAAUGAAGCUUGGCCAAGGGACUUCUGUUGAGGCCUACAAAGCUCGAAGAACUGUAAGUAGAGUGGUGCCUUUUGAUGUAUAUUCAUUUGUCGACUAAUACCUGGCCAUACUAGAGAAGUGCGCACACACCCCCUAACAGAUUCUAAAUGUGUACUUGGACGACCUUUAAAUACCUGGAUGAUAUUCCACAUAAACAAAGCCAUAUCGUCAUUUUAAUACAAUAAGCAAGCAGGGGCCCAUAAAACAAAUAGCUACUCUUUUUUGAUGUGUAGCAAAUUCAUUACUUAUGGGGGCAUCAAGAAGAGCUCUCUGCACAAAGGAUUCAUUACCUGAGCGAGGCAUACAAUCCAAGAGCCCUUUCAACGUUUCACCUUAGAUGAUAUAAUAUAACCAUAAGUUUUAUUUCUCAAAAUAUAGGAGGUGUACCACCCUGCACAAAGGAAACAAGAGUUUUACAAGUGUCCAGUAGCCAGGGUUGCAUAACUGUGAGAAAUUGAUGAUAAAACACAAUGUGAUAAUUCAACAGGUAAAACCGAAUUUAAGGUAAGCUAACUAAAUUGAGCAUUUGUUUCCCCAUUGGACAUGUCAGAAUUCACAAACAUCCAAAAGGAAAAGAUAAUGUAUCGACCAAACUACCAAAAUUAGAAAUUCUCUGUCAUGUACAACAAAUGCACCAACCCAUCAACCUAGACAGCAAUACUAAUAAAAGUUACAUUUUUCAAGUAGCCAGGCUGCCUCGAAUUACAAGAAUUUGAUCACUAUUCUUACUAAGAAACAAGUAAAGUACUGAAGUAGUACAUGUUAGCAUCAAUCUUAUUACUAUCCAGAGAAGCUCAAUUCAGGCAAAACAAGCCAAGGAAGCACACGACAACCAGAAACAGUGAGUGAAGGAAAGGAACCGAACCUGAGACACCCGAGGAGGAAUUCGCCAUCUCUGCCACCCGGCCCAAACGAUACCCCAGCAGAAUUGAGGAGCACGAGGACGAUAUGCUCACCCCACGAGCAGCUCCAUGGAUCUUGGCCCUCUCCGUGGCCAGGGCGACAGACUGCGAUGGCGAGCACGAGUCCAUGGAGGGGAUCAAGCAGCGCUUCGCGGCGGUGCAUGUGUGGCUCGCAGGUCGACUGUGGGCGGUGCGUGUCGGAAGAACUCACGUGUGGUUGCGGCAGUGCACAGCCAGGCGAAGCUCGCGGCGCGACGGCGGCCGGUGCGUGCGUGCGCGUAGUUGCCGUGAGUGGCUACCUGCGGUGUGGCCGCCGCACGACAUACGACAGCGCUCGGCCCCUUCGCUGCUCCCGCCACCUCUGUAGCUCAUGGUGGCGAGCCGGCGACGUCUCUGCGGCGAGCCAAUGCUAUCUAAAUGGUGUGCGGCACAGGAGCAGAGAGAG
rnacentral:lncRNA from 1 species